rnacentral:rRNA from 1 species
GGAAGGUGCAAGCGUUAAUCGGAAUUACUGGGCGUAAAGCGCGCGUAGGCGGCUAGAUAAGUCGGGUGUGAAAGCCCUGGGCUCAACCUGGGAACUGCAUUCGAUACUGUCUAGCUAGAGUGUGGUAGAGGGAGGCGGAAUUCCGCAUGUAGCGGUGAAAUGCGUAGAGAUGCGGAGGAACACCAAUGGCGAAGGCAGCCUUCUGGACCAACACUGACGCUGAGGCGCGAAAGCGUGGGGGGAGCAAACAGGAUUAGAUACCCUGGUAGCCCACGCCGUAAACGAUGUCAACUAGCCGUUGGGAGCAUUUUGGCUCUUGGUGGCGCAGCUAACGCGAUAAGUUGACCCGCCUGGGGAGUACGGUCGCAAGAUUA